CUCGCCAUGCAGCCGUGCGGAGAUAUUGGGGACAGCCUGCGCAGCGGAUGAAACAGAUGAAAAGCUUUCGCUGGGAUGUGAAUAAUCCCGUCCUCGCGACAGUCGUCGGACCACCUCGUAGAUUAUAACUCGGCUGAGGAUCACUUUCUAGGCUGUUUGAAUUAAAUGAAGAGCGGCGGCGGCGUCGACACGCACGCAGUUCUUCAGUCGACCUUCUUCCUGGACACUUUGCGAAGCGCCAAAACAACACGCAGCAGCUGCAGCCGGAGAGGAAGCCUCAACAUGCAGCUUUUUCCUCGGUUUCCACUCCUGCCUGUUGCACUGUGGACGCUGAGGAGGAGACUUUCAUCUGACAAGCAACAAGCACAUGGUGCGUUGUUAUGUUUACCCUGCAGAUCAAUGAAUAGCAAGAAAACAGAGGCCCUGAAACAAUCACUAGAUGUGGAUGAAAGCGGGAAGAGCUGCCGAAUUUCGUAUCCCGACCAGACGUUUGCCAUCUUUGCACUGAAAUAUUGGCAGUAAGAUGGGUUUUGACUCCAGCCACAGGCACAACCAAUUUGGCCAACAAGUGAAAUCACGGACAGACAGACUGGCGAUCGCAGCAGCAUUAGUACCAGCUACACCAAAGCUUGCCGACCUGUAGGACCUUUCUGAUGUUCGUACGGGGUGAGGUAGUAGGUUGUGUGGUUUCAGGGUAGUGAUUUUGCCCAAUCAGGAGAUAACUAUACAACCUACUGCCUUCCCUGAAGGGCAGCAAUCCUUCAACAUACAGACAACAGGGGGUUGAGUCAUCAAGCCAUCUCUUAGCUGGACCAUAGGCAUCCACAGCCAGUCAAAGCAGCGGGUCCUGUCUGCUGCUAUGACAGGACCAGCAGGUAAAUGGAAUUUCUGUUUGCUUUUGAUUUUCUGCC